rnacentral:lncRNA from 1 species
UGCGAGCAAAGUUCCUAUGGCAUCCACUUACCAGGGCAGGAAACCCUACUUCCACCAGACAUGUAUUUGUUUAUUCACUCAGGCAGGUGGUAUGUUGGAAGAAGAGUGGACUUUGGAAUCAGAAAACCUGGAAUCCCAACUUCACCGCUAACCGAGAGACCUUGAGCUGGUUCCUAAACCACGGGGAACUUCAGUUCCACUACAUGAGUUAUUGCAAAGGUUGAAUCGGAAUUGUGACACUGGCCAGCACACGUGUGAAACCAGGGGCAUCCCCUAUUGAUAAGGAGCCCAGCCCAAGAGCUUCAAGGGAAAUUGACCCCAGCCCCAGCUCCACUGAUGGGCUCGAUGAUUCAGAGAGGAAUCUCACUCCCUUGGUCAAAGUGAAUGGCUCAUAAAUCUGGGCCUAAGUCAAUCCGUGCAAGACAUUCCCCUGGCCAUAGGGAUUGGUUAAAAAAUGGACAUGUAACCCAGUUUGGGCUAAAUGAGAUGUGAACAGGAAAGUUAUUUGAUAGCUUCUGAGGAAGGUAGCUUCUCUUCUUUCUAGAGAGCCACUGGAAAGGUAGCCUUUUCUCCUCUGUGUUGUGGAGAGAAAAAAAAAGUGAAACUGUCUCCCUCUCAGCCCACACAGAAGGCUCACACUUGGUGAAGGGAAGGGUGGAGAAGAUUACAGAGAAUAGCCCUGAUGGAACCACACCUGAUUUCUACCUGACCUCUUAAUUUUUUCAUUUGUACAAGUCAGUAAAUGCCUUUUAAUUUUUAAACAAAUAAUUACAGCAACUUAUAGAGGUACCUAAGGUAUUAAGUUACCAUCAUGAAUACAAAGAUAAGCAAGACAAACUUCAAGGGGCUCACCACCUAAUAAAUAUUAUACUUUGCUUUUAUGACAUCAUUUUAGUCUUUUUUGUUGUUUUUUGUUUUUGUUUCUAAAUAGGAUCUUGCUUUAUCACCCAAACUGUAAUGCAGUGGUGUGAUCAUAGCUCACUACAGCCCCGACCUCCUGGGCUCAAGUGAUCCUCUUGCCUCAGCCUCCUAAGGAGCUGGGACUACAGGUGCGUGCCCAGCUAAUUUCUUUUAUUUUUGUAGAGGCAGGGGGGUCUCGCUAUGUUGCCCAGGCUGUGGGUUUUUCAGGGUAAAGUUAUGGCUCAUUCUCUCUUCAGGACCCUGCUACCAUUUGGUCAAUUUAAUAUUAUGCAAGAGAAAUUCCAUUUCCCUAGUAGUUACACAAUGCCCGCUUUCAGACCAGCUAGUCAACCCUGUGAGGGUCAGAUAGAGUAGUUUAUCCAUUUGGUUGUCAGACAACUGCCUCGAACAGCCAGGCCAUUUCUACAUGUUCUCAGUUACUGGUUAACAAAUGUUGCCCCAGAAUUCAGCACCUAAUAGGAAAUACAUUCAUUUCCAAAUUCCUACUGAAAUAGGAUUUUUCUCAUUCCUAGAUAAAACAGAGGCACCCAGAUUUUCCUGGAAUGGCAUUCAGAAAUAGAGAAGGAAUCAUAGAGAAAUGUCUGCCCAGGCAUCUCUGAGUCUCAUGCCUUUUUGCUGUUGCUGCUGUUAUGACUCCUACCUUGGAAAGUUUCAGUCAUCCUUGAACAUCCUCCCCACCCCCAUGCUUUCCUGUCUUCUGUUUCAUAACUAAAUGCCAUUUAAAACUCUAGCUAUAGAUACCCCUUGCUGAUAUAAGCAACAGAAGUAGAGAGUCCUUAGAUUCUAGACUGAAUUUAGGGCCCAACAGUUAGACAAUUGGAACUUGAUAAUAACGUUAUCUCAGCAGAUUGCGUAAGUCAGAAAUGUUCUCCCUGUCACUGCUUUCUUUUUCCUUCCAGCAAGAAGUGGACAUUAAGGAGAAAGUGAAGGUGGCAAGUUAUGAGUGAUCUGUUUAAGACACAGUUUAGUUAUGGCAAUGAUAACAACUCACAUUUAUUAGGGGCUUAUUAUGUAUCAGGCUGAGCAAAGUACGUAAGAUUCUUGAUCUCAUUUAAUUCUCACAGUGUAGAGGCUAAUGAGUGGUGGAGGUGAGAGGAGGACGCAGCCUCCCUUGGCUCCAGGGCACACACUCUUAGCUGUAACACUCUAUUGCCUCCAUAAAGUAUGCUUAAUUGUAAUACAUGUUGAUGAGAUAUGUGAUAAACAUAAUUUAUGUAAAAUUUAAGAACAAGAUCUAUUGUAUAAAUUA